rnacentral:pre_miRNA from 2 species
CCGAAGCUCAUUACAGCUGCUGACCACUGCACAAGAUUAGAAUGUGACUCUUGUGCGUGUGACAACGGCUAUUGUGGGUGUUCUAGCUCAUCAC